UAAGAAAAGGUAGUAGGCAAAAGGAAUUAAUUAGGAAACACAACCUAUAUAGGAGGAAGCUUGAAAGUGAAGGUAAAACAAUUCAAACCAUAAUGUAUCACAUGCAGACCUCUCAAGACAUAGGCACAUAGCUUGAAUUGAUAUCAAUAAACUAAAGAUAAAAUCAUGCAUUAAAAGGUGCAG